rnacentral:rRNA from 1 species
GUUGGAAACGACUGCUAAUACCGCAUAAGCCCACGGCUCGGCAUCGAGCAGAGGGAAAAGGAGCAAUCCGCUUUGAUAUGGCCUCGCGUCCGAUUAGCUAGUUGGUGAGGUAACGGCCCACCAAGGCGACGAUCGGUAGCCGGACUGAGAGGUUGAACGGCCACAUUGGGACUGAGACACGGCCCAGACUCCUACGGGAGGCAGCAGUGGGGAAUAUUGCACAAUGGGGGAAACCCUGAUGCAGCGACGCCGCGUGGAGGAAGAAGGUCUUCGGAUUGUAAACUCCUGUUGUUGGGGAAGAUAAUGACGGUACCCAACAAGGAAGUGACGGCUAACUACGUGCCAGCAGCCGCGGUAAAUCGUAGGUCACAAGCGUUGUCCGGAAUUACUGGGUGUAAAGGGAGCGCAGGCGGGAAGACAAGUUGGAAGUGAAAUCUAUGGGCUCAACCCAUAAACUGCUUUCAAAACUGUUUUUCUUGAGUAGUGCAGAGGUAGGCGGAAUUCCCGGUGUAGCGGUGGAAUGCGUAGAUAUCGGGAGGAACACCAGUGGCGAAGGCGGCCUACUGGGCACCAACUGACGCUGAGGCCCGAAAGUGUGGGUAGCAAACAGGAUUAGAUACCCUGGUAGUCCACACCGUAAACGAUGAUUACUAGGUGUUGAGGAUUGACCCCUUCAGUGCCGCAGUUAACACAAUAAGUAAUCCACCUGGGGAGUACGACCGCAAGGUUGAAACUCAAAGGAAUUGACGGGGGCCCGCACAAGCAGUGGAGUAUGUGGUUUAAUUCGACGCAACGCGAAGAACCUUACCAAGUCUUGACAUCCCUUGACGAUGCUGGAAACAGUGUUUCUCUUCGGAGCAAGGAGACAGGUGGUGCAUGGUUGUCGUCAGCUCGUGUCGUGAGAUGUUGGGUUAAGUCCCGCAACGAGCGCAACCCUUAUGGUCAGUUACUACGCAAGAGGACUCUGGCCAGACUGCCGUUGACAAAACGGAGGAAGGUGGGGAUGACGUCAAAUCAUCAUGCCCUUUAUGACUUGGGCUACACACGUACUACAAUGGCGUUAAACAAAGAGAAGCAAGACCGCGAGGUGGAGCAAAACUCAGAAACAACGUCCCAGUUCGGACUGCAGGCUGCAACUCGCCUGCACGAAGUCGGAAUUGCUAGUAAUCGUGGAUCAGCAUGCCACGGUGAAUACGUUCCCGGGCCUUGUACACACCGCCCGUCACACCAUGAGAGCCGGGGGGACCCGAAGUCGGUAGUCUUACCGCAAGGAGGACGCCGCCGAAGGUAAAACUGGUGAUUGGGGUGAAGUCGUAACAAGGU